CUGGAACAUCCCACUGAAUGUGGAAUCAUCACCGACUGGGAUGACGUGGGAAAGGGCAUGGAGCUUCCUGAUGGACAGGGGAAGGAAUUCACCACUGGGAAUGAAUGGUGCUGAUGCCCAGGAGUAUUUUGCUUGUAUAAUUACCAUGCUGAGGUUACAAAGGAGGACAUUCCAGAAAACAACAGUCCUGACACAAACAAAACCAGAAUUGUAACACGGUGACAACAAGCAAUGAAAGGCGCAAGCUUUGAGGUGAAUUAAGUUCGUGAAGGUGGAAGCCAAGCCCAGCGACAUCAGAGGCUGCUGUGGAGGAGAAUUAAAUUAACAGGGUAAAAUAUCUCCUGUUUAAGGUUGGCCUCAGGCAAGAAUGAGUUUGUCAGUGUAAUAUGUUGUUGAAUUUUAAUAUGGAAAUGUCUCCUGGCAUGUAUUUCGAACACACUACAAACAGUGAUAUUGAUCUAACCUUCAAUUAAUGGGAGAGGUCCUCUGUGAAAAUUGGAUCUGGGUUUGAAUGGCAAAUAGGUUUAAUAUUCUGAUGACAGUGGAUCAUUUGCACAGCUCAGUAAGGACUAUAAAUCACCAGGAUUAGGGCUUUUUUUUUUUAUUAUCAUUUUAAUGCAGGCUUGUUUUCCCUGGAGCAAGGGGCCAGGAGUGUGGUAAAUCAUUAAAAAAUCAUGGAGCUGGUGUCAGUAGGUAUGGACAACAAAUAAUCUACUUGUGCUAAAUGAAUUAUUUGAAAUCCAUUCACUCCUGCUCUCUGUUGCUGUGUUUUUUAGAUGUGUGCUCUCUUUUGGGAUAGAAUGAUUGCUCUCCCUUUAGCUUUUACACAAUCCAUGGGUGUCUUUCCUCUUUGGUGUUCACAGAGCAUCCAUCCUCAAGGCCAUUUUUUUAGAGCAGUCUGAGAGAGAUCCAAAGCUGAUUAGUCCUAGAGAUAGGAGUAGCCAGAUUAUUCCUCAUGGCUGCUUCUAGCUGUGUCUUCUGUACAUUUUAUGUGUGUGUGUUUGUGUUUAUGUAUAAACCUUAGAUUGCUUCAUUGUUGCAGCCCUGCAGGGAACAAAAAAAAAAAAAAAGAAAAGAAAAAAGAAACUGUUGGCAAAUAACCCAUCUUAGCCAAGAAGUAACACAUGGUUUCACUGAAGUUGGUGUUGAUAUUGAGCUGUUUUCUAGAGAGCUGUUCAUGAUCAGGCUUUGAAUUUAGCAGGUUUACUUUUAAUUGAUUUCCUAGCUGGCUCAGAGAAAAAGAUGUUCUUAAAGGACUUGUAAGCCUCUAAUUAAACCAGAGAAGAAUUUCAACCAGUCCACUGCUCUAUGAAAUGCUCAAGAUGACAGGUCAACUUGAUUGUGUGCAAUUCCCUGUCCAGUCAAUCUCUCUUGGGGAUUGUCAGGAAGGAUUUCUCUCUGGAAGCUCCUUCACUGUCAUUGUCCUGUAAAGAGCAUUUUGCUGUGUUCCCUAAAUCAGCCCCUUGGUUGUCCCCUGGAGCUGCUGAAUUAACAUGAUGUGACCCAGGGAUGCAAAGGGAUUUCUUCCAUUAUCAGGGCCAGGAUGCUUGGGAGAACACAAAGAUGGGUUUCCUAGACAACAGCUGAUGUCAGUGGCAACUGGGAGAAAGUACAGAGGCUGAGAGAGGAGUUCAUGAAGAGCAGGGAUCAAUUUAGGGGGAAAAAAAAAUCUGAAUAGCAAAGUUACAGAUUUUUACAAAAUAUAAAACUUAGUAAAGAGACCUGUUUCUGAAGUCUGGGAAACAUCUCUUGGGAUAUGAGAAAUAAAAAUCACUCACAAAGAAACA
rnacentral:lncRNA from 1 species